CGGCGAUCCGGGGUCUGGGCGCGGCGAGGUCUGGUGUGGCAGAUGUGGAUAGCUGGACCCUCCUGGGUGCCUCUGCGUUAUGUCGUUUGGUUGAUGCAUUUGGAGAGAAUCUGUGCUCUCCACAACUGCAGGGGCAACAUGCUUUCCUGGCCUCUUCAGAUCAGGGUGGCUGUUCUUGGGUGCUGCACCAAAACUCCAGCAGUGGGCUUUCUUCAAGUGGCCGGCUCACCUCAUUCCUGCCAAGACCCAGGUCCGUGUUCUCACAGUGCUGCCAUCUUUCCUCCGUGUGAGCGUGGGCUGUGCGGAGAGUGGACCUCGGUGUGUGCGGGGCUGCGUGCACUGCCAUCGCUCCCUCUACACGAGCCGGCGUGGACCCAGGGCUGAGCUGUGACCACGAGGGCCAUCCCGACGAGCCGCCAUGGACCCAGGGCUGAGCUGUGACCAUGAGGGCUAUCCCGACGAGCUGCCGUGGACCCAGGGCUGAGCCGUGACCAUGAGGGCCAUCCCGAAACUGUGAUUGUUUUCUGAAUGUGGAAGCGUCGGCCGAGCGCGGUCCUUGGAGAACCCUUGCUGCGGAGAAUGACGCUCACUCUGCGGCCUGGCCUCGCCUCCCCAUCCCUUCUGCAAACUCACAGGACAGGAUUGAUGGGGAGAGCCCAGGCGAAACGAAGCUGACCCUAGUGACCAGCCCUACUGGCGGCUCUGGAACAGGCCCGGGACCGGUGGCCUGGAGACAGUGGUCCUUUCUGGAUGGGCUGCAGUCUCCGAAGGCUUCCCCCACUGGAGUCAGCCCUUUAGGAGUUUGUCCAGUGCCUCCAGAAAGCUGUUUUUUGGGGGACGGAGGACUUGGCCUGGAAUUCUGGAAUUCCCAGGGGGUCAGACAUGGUUAUGGGAAGUUUAAUAAAACCGGUGAAUCACGUGAA
rnacentral:lncRNA from 10 species